UCUACGGGUGGCUGCAGUGGGGAAUUUUGCGCAAUGCUCGUAAGAGUGACGCAGCGACGCCGCGUGAAUGACGAAGGCCUUCGGGUCGUAAAGUUCUUUCGACAGGGAAGAAAAUGCAAAUAAGUAACUGUGUCUGUAUUGACGGUACCUGUAUAAGCAGCGCCGGCUAACUCCGUGCCAGCAGCCGCGGUAAUACGGUGGGGGCGAGCGUUGGUCGGCGUGACUGGGCGUAAAGAUCACGUAGGCGGUGUUGUAAGUCAUUAGUCAAAGACUAGAGCUCAACUUUAGUAAGGCUAGUGAUACUAUAAUACGAGAGUAUCAGAGAGGAGUGCAGAAUUCCUGGUGUAGCGGUGAAAUGUGUAGAUAUCAGGAGGAAUACCGUUAGCGAAGGCGGCAAUCUGGCUGGAAACUGACGCUGAGGUGCGAAAGCGUGGGUAGCAAACAGGAUUAGAUACCCUAGUAGUC
rnacentral:rRNA from 1 species